rnacentral:lncRNA from 1 species
UGAAUUCACAAUUGAAGAGGCUUAUGUCAGUCCCUUAGAAAGAAUUUGAGGACUCCUCGGAAAAUUGCUGAGUUGAGUAAAUAUUUCCUUCCAUAAAGUCUUGAGGAACACAUGGAAUCUAGUGAGGCAUAGAGAAGCUCGGAUGUGCCUGGUUAUCUCCUCACCCAGCCUGAUCUCAGCCUCAUGACUUGGCAUUCCUUUCCUCGGCCACUUCCUUGGCUGGCUUCAGCCUCGACCAGAACCUGCCUCCAUCUGUUACUCAGGUUUAUUGAGACUCAUGGCUCACAAGCCUGGCUGCCUCCCCUGGCUGCGUGCCUCAUCAAGCCCAGCAGGAGCCAGGGAGACCAGCG